rnacentral:rRNA from 1 species
GACGUAGGUGGCGAGCGUUUGUUCCGGAAUUACUGGGCGUAAAGCGUCCGUAGGCGGCGCGGUAAGUCGGGUGUGAAACUCUCGGAGCUUAACUUCGGAAACUGCAUUCGAUACUGCCGUGCUUGAGGACUGGAGAGGAGACUGGAAAUUUACGGUGUAGCGGUGAAAUGCGCAGAUAUCAGGAGGAACACCGGUGGCGAAGGCGGUUCUCUGGGCCUGUACUGACGCUGGAGGAACGAAAGCGUGGGGAGCAACAGG